CGGCGGACGGGUGAGUAACGCGUGGGUAACCUGCCUCAUACAGGGGGAUAACAGUUAGAAAUGACUGCUAAUACCGCAUAAGACCACAGCACCGCAUGGUGCGGGGGUAAAAACUCCGGUGGUAUGAGAUGGACCCGCGUCUGAUUAGCUAGUUGGUAAGGUAACGGCUUACCAAGGCGACGAUCAGUAGCCGACCUGAGAGGGUGACCGGCCACAUUGGGACUGAGACACAGCCCAA
rnacentral:rRNA from 1 species